rnacentral:rRNA from 1 species
GACGUAGGGCGCGAGCGUUGUCCGGAUUUAUUGGGCGUAAAGAGCUCGUAGGCGGUUUGUCGCGUCUGCCGUGAAAGUCCGGGGCUCAACCUCGGGCCUGCAGUCGAUACGGGCAGGCUAGAGUUCGGUAGGGGAGACUGGAAUUCCUGGUGUAGCGGUGAAAUGCGCAGAUAUCAGGAGGAACACCGGUGGCGAAGGCGGGUCUCUGGGCCGAAACUGACGCUGAGGAGCGAAAGCGUGGGGAGCGAACAGG